GGGGGUGUAGCUCAGUGAGAGAGCACUUGCCUAGCAGGCAUGAGGCUUGGAUUUCAUCCCCA
rnacentral:tRNA from 1 species